rnacentral:misc_RNA from 1 species
GAUGAAGAACGCAGCGAAAUGCGAUAAGUAAUGUGAAUUGCAGAAUUCAGUGAAUCAUCGAGUCUUUGAACGCACAUUGCGCCCCCUGGUAUUCCGGGGGGCAUGCCUGUCCGAGCGUCAUUGCUGCCCUCAAGCACGGCUUGUGUGUUGGGCCCCGCCCCCCGGCUCCCGGGGGGCGGGCCCGAAAGGCAGCGGCGGCACCGCGUCCGGUCCUCGAGCGUAUGGGGCUUCGUCACCCGCUCCGUAGGCCCGGCCGGCGCCCGCCGGCGACCCCCCUCAAUCUUUUCAGGUUGACCUCGGAUCAGGUAGGGAUACCCGCUGAACUUAAGCAUAUCAUAAGCGGAGGA